UAGUGGCGGACGGGUGAGUAACGCGUGGAGAACCUGCACUGUACUGGGGGAUAGCAGCUGGAAACGGCUGGUAAUACCGCAUGAGACCACGGGAGGGCAUCCUCCUGAGGCAAAAGAUUUAUCGGUACAGAAUGGAUCCGCGUUUGAUUAGCCAGUUGGCGGGGUAACGGCCCACCAAAGCGACGAUCAAUAGCCGGCCUGAGAGGGCGGACGGCCACAUUGGGACUGAGACACGGCCCAGACUCCUACGGGAGGCAGCAGUGGGGGAUAUUGCACAAUGGACGAAAGUCUGAUGCAGCGACGCCGCGUGAGUGAAGAAGUAUUUCGGUAUGUAAAGCUCUAUCAGCAGGGAAGAAAGGCUCCGGAAGGAGAGAUGACGGUACCUGAGUAAGAAGCCCCGGCUAACUACGUGCCAGCAGCCGCGGUAAUACGUAGGGGGCAAGCGUUAUCCGGAUUUACUGGGUGUAAAGGGAGCGCAGACGGAUGCGCAAGUCUGAUGUGAAAGCCCGGGGCUCACCCCCGGGACUGCAUUGGAAACUGUGCGUCUGGAGUACUGGAAGGGCAAGCGGAAUUCCUGGUGUAGCGGUGAAAUGCGUAGAUAUCAGGAGGAACACCGGAGGCGA
rnacentral:rRNA from 1 species